UAGCCGUAAACGAAUACUCGCUAGGUGUCGGCCACGGUGCGACCGUUGUCGGUGCCGUAGGGAAGCCGUGAAGCGAGCCACCUGGGAAGUACGGCCGCAAGGCUGAAACUUAAAGGAAUUGGCGGGGGAGGCACAACAACGGGUGGAGCUUGCGGUUUAAAUUGGAUUCAACGCCGGAAAUCUUACCGGGACCGACAGCAACAUGAAGGCCAAGCUGAAGACUUUGCCGGAUUAGCUGAGAGGUGGUGCAUGGCGUGUGACUGU
rnacentral:rRNA from 1 species